UGGGGAAUAUUGCACAAUGGGCGCAAGCCUGAUGCAGCCAUGCCGCGUGCAUGAAGAAGGCCUUCGGGUUGUAAAGUACUUUCAGCGGGGAGGAAGGCGAUAAGGUUAAUAACCUUGUCGAUUGACGUUACCCGCAGAAGAAGCACCGGCUAACUCCGUGCCAGCAGCCGCGGUAAUACGGAGGGUGCAAGCGUUAAUCGGAAUUACUGGGCGUAAAGCGCACGCAGGCGGUCUGUCAAGUCGGAUGUGAAAUCCCCGGGCUCAACCUGGGAACUGCAUUCGAAACUGGCAGGCUAGAGUCUUGUAGAGGGGGGUAGAAUUCCAGGUGUAGCGGUGAAAUGCGUAGAGAUCUGGAGGAAUACCGGUGGCGAAGGCGGCCCCCUGGACAAAGACUGACGCUCAGGUGCGAAAGCGUGGGGAGCAAACA
rnacentral:rRNA from 1 species